UAAGAGAGAGAGAGAGAGAGAGAGAGAGAGAGAGAGAGAGAGAGAGAGAGAGAGAGAUAUGGAGAGUUAANAUAGACAUCCUUGUACUCAUAAAUUUUUAACCGUUGAUUGAUGAUGUGUGUGGUUAGGAUGAUGGUGGUCCUCACUUAAAAUGAUAGUGGUCUCCUAGGGUUGAGUGGGUAGUUGGUUAAAUAGUAUGAUCUAACGGAUGAAAAUGGUUAAUAGAAUAAAUCUAAGAGCCGAAAACUUAUGAGUAUAAGAGAGCCAAUACUUAUAAAAGUAUAGUAG
rnacentral:lncRNA from 1 species